CUACGUGCCAGCAGCCGCGGUAAUACGUAGGGCGCGAGCGUUGUCCGGAAUUAUUGGGCGUAAAGGGCUUGUAGGCGGUUGGUCGCGUCUGCCGUGAAAUCCUCUGGCUUAACUGGGGGCGUGCGGUGGGUACGGGCUGACUUGAGUGCGGUAGGGGAGACUGGAACUCCUGGUGUAGCGGUGGAAUGCGCAGAUAUCAGGAAGAACACCGGUGGCGAAGGCGGGUCUCUGGGCCAUAACUGACGCUGAGGAGCGAAAGCUAGGGGAGCAAACAGGAUUAGAUACCCUGGUAGUCCUAGCCGUAAACGAUGGUCACUAGGUGUGGGGGAAUAUUUCUUCCGUGCCGCAGCUAACGCAUUAAGUGUCCCGCCUGGGGAGUACGGCCGCAAGGCUAAAACUCAAAGGAAUUGACGGGGGCCCGCACAAGCAGCGGAGCAUGUGGUUUAAUUCGAAGCAACGCGAAGAACCUUACCAGGGCU
rnacentral:rRNA from 1 species